UACGUAGGGUGCAAGCGUUGUCCGGAAUUUUUGGGCGUCAAGAGCUCGUAGGCGGUCUGUCGCGUCGGAUGUGAAAAUCCAGGGCUCAACCCUGGACCUGCAUUCGAUACGGGCAGACUAGAGUUCGGUAGGGGAGACUGGAAUUCCUGGUGUAGCGGUGAAAUGCGCAGAUAUCAGGAGGAACACCGGUGGCGAAGGCGGGUCUCUGGGCCGAAACUGACGCUGAGGAGCGAAAGCGUGGGGAGCAAACAGG
rnacentral:rRNA from 1 species